AUUGCCCUAGUAACGGCGAGUGAAGCGGCAACAGCUCAAAUUUGAAAUCUGGCCCUCGGGUCCGAAUUGUAAUUUGUAGAGGAUGCUUUUGGUGAGGUACCUUCCGAGUUCCCUGGAACGGGACGCCAUAGAGGGUGAGAGCCCCGUCUGGUUGGAUACCGAUCCUCUGUAAAGCUCCUUCGACGAGUCGAGUAGUUUGGGAAUGCUGCUCUAAAUGGGAGGUAUAUGUCUUCUAAAGCUAAAUAUUGGCCAGAGACCGAUAGCGCACAAGUAGAGUGAUCGAAAGAUGAAAAGCACUUUGAAAAGAGAGUUAAAAAGUACGUGAAAUUGUUGAAAGGGAAGCGCUCAUGACCAGACUUGGGCUUGGUUGAUCAUCCAGGGUUCUCCCUGGUGCACUCUUCCAGCCCAGGCCAGCAUCAGUUCGCUGUGGGGGAUAAAGGCUUUGGGAAUGUGGCUCCUCCGGGAGUGUUAUAGCCCAUUGUGUAAUACCCUGUGGUGGACUGAGGUUCGCGCAUCUGCAAGGAUGCUGGCGUAAUGGUCAUCAGCGACCCGUCUUGAAACACGGACCAAGGAGUCGUCUUCGUAUGCGAGUGUUCGGGUGUUAAACCCCUACGCGUAAUGAAAGUGAACGCAGGUGAGAGCUUCGGCGCAUCAUCGACCGAUCCUGAUGUUCUCGGAUGGAUUUGAGUAAGAGCAUACGGGGCCGGACCCGAAAGAAGGUGAACUAUGCCUGUAUAGGGUGAAGCCAGAGGAAACUCUGGUGGAGGCUCGCAGCGGUUCUGACGUGCAAAUCGAUCGUCAAAUAUGGGCAUGGGGGCGAAAGACUAAU
rnacentral:rRNA from 4 species